UACGUAGGGUCCGAGCGUUGUCCGGAGUUACUGGGCGUAAAGGGCGCGCAGGUGGCGGUGUUGGCCCGGCGUGAAAGCCCCCGGCUCAACCGGGGAGGGUCGUCGGGGACCGCACCGCUUGAGGGCGGUAGGGGCUGGUGGAAUGCCUGGUGUAGUGGUGAAAUGCGUAGAGAUCAGGCGGAACACCCGUAGCGAAGGCGGCCAGCUGGGCCGUCCCUGACACUGAGGCGCGAAGGCGUGGGGAGCGAACAGG
rnacentral:rRNA from 1 species